rnacentral:rRNA from 1 species
UACGUAGGGCGCAAGCGUUGUCCGGAAUUAUUGGGCGUAAAGAGCUCGUAGGCGGUUUGUCGCGUCUGCUGUGAAAACCUCAGGCUCAACCUGGGGCUUGCAGUGGGUACGGGCAGACUAGAGUGCGGUAGGGGUGACUGGAAUUCCUGGUGUAGCGGUGGAAUGCGCAGAUAUCAGGAGGAACACCGAUGGCGAAGGCAGGUCACUGGGCCGCAACUGACACUGAGGAGCGAAAGCAUGGGGAGCGAACAGG